UAUAUUGUAGAAUAUUCUAUCAUUCUCACAAAUUCUAAUAAAUGUAUUUUAUUAUAGAAUACUCUAUAGUUCUCACAAAUUCUAAUAAAUUAAUUUUAUUAUAUUAUAGAAUAUUAUAAGAGUAAUUCUAAUAACUUAUAAUAUAUUGAGUGUAACAUGGAGAGGAAAAGUUGUGACUUAUGGAGAGACGUCAGACAUUGCAUAAUGGACAUUAAUAAGGAAAUGCAGGUUUAAUAUCUGGACCGAAAUGGCCAAAUCUUUGGUACCGGAAAAUGCUACAAGAGGUUUGGAUUUGGACACGCGCCUCACCCUGCCCUGCAGGGACGUCCGGGGUGGUCUGAGGGGUGUCUGGUUUCUCCACCUGCUCAGAAGCCCAGCGGGUCACCGCGUGGUUGCCUCUUCUUCUGCUCCAGUGAGUGGGAAAGCGUUGGGGGCGGUAGAGGGGGCUGUUGCCCCACGGAAGAUGAAUGCCCUCGGAGCCCUGCAGGCCUUCCCUUCCAUUUCAACGGAAACAUUAAAAGGAAAGCCAAGCAGGUCAGGGAGCAAAGGAGGGCUACGCUUAUCCUGGAGGAGCACACUGUGCAGGGCUGCACGUGGGGAUGGCGCCCUGGGUCUGCUCAGCUGAAGACAGACCCUGUUCAUGACUUAAAGGUUGCACGUGGUCGAGUCAGUAACCUGAUUCAUCUCCCCCGUCCUCCCCAGUGGGGCUCUGUGGGCACUUUCGGGUUCACUCAUUAGCUGCAGGGGUAAAUAAAGCCAGACGGGUGCUCUUAUGGAGCCAAAGGAGGGAGAGAGAAGAGAAGGGAAGCGUGUGUGAGUCCAUCUGUGCCAGAAGGAGCUGUGGGAAAGAAAAGUGCAUGGUGAUCCCAUCGCUGAAGGCGAAACAAGGUUCCCUGGUAGACCAGUUCACCACCUUCCAGUUCACAUUUUGAUUGCUUUUAAUGUUCUGCACUCUGUGCCCCCAGCUGUUUGCAUAUUGGAGUCUACAAUGCAUGCACCUGUCUCUCAAAAUGCAGCCGCCCUAUUCCCCACCCCACGGAGAGCUGCAUGGUUGGCAUCAGCCCCCCUGAUAGGAGACAAUUCCUUAGCCAAGUGCUCAAAACUCCUGGGUCAGAGCUCUCCCCAUAGUUUUAUUGAGGUAUAAUCGAUACACCGCAAAAGCGUGCAAAUAUGUGAUAUGCACAUUUGAUGAGUUUGGACAGACAUCUACAUCUGUGACACCAUCUCACUUCGAUCAACAUAAUGAAUUUACAGAGAGAGAGAGAGACGCAGAGACACAGGCAGAGGGAGAAGCAGGCUCCAUGCACCAGGAGCCCGACGUGGGAUUCGAUCCCGGGUCUCCAGGAUCGCGCCCUGGGCCAAAGGCAGGUGCCAAACUGCUGCGCCACCCAGGGAUCCCUGAUGAAUAUAUGAUUGAGUCAAAUGGUCUGCUAAUGCUUCUUCUCCUUGAGUUAAUUGCAGAUCUAUCCUUUCUCUUAUAUAACAUGGACAUUUCCCAUUUUACAUGGGUCCUAUAAAUUAAUGUCACUGGCAAGAUGUUGAAGCAUCCAAAGAAUUACUGAAGCCAUGGUUUGCAGGUGCAAAGGGCAACAUUGUGUAACGGCUGCACAGCAGAGGCGCCCUUUUUGCAUUCCCGCCAACAGCAGACAAGGUUUCCAGUUGGUCUUCAGGCUCUUAUUGUCCCUUGGGAAUGGAAUUUCCAGUUGUAUCAGGAAAAUCAUGUAAGAUAUCCCGCUUGUCACUUGGAGACUUCAAUCUUAAUGGAUGACGACCAACCGAUAAAAACAUUGUAUGUGAAUUUUGUAUGUGAAUUCGUUGUAUGUGAAUUUAU